UAAGGAAUAUUGGUCAAUGGACGCAAGUCUGAACCAGCCAUGCCGCGUGAAGGAUGAAGGUCCUCUGGAUUGUAAACCUCUUUUAUCUGGGACGAAAACGGGAUUUUUAUCUCAAUUGACGGUACCAGAGGAAUAAGCACCGGCUAACUCCGUGCCAGCAGCCGCGGUAAUACGGAGGGUGCGAGCGUUAUCCGGAGUUACUGGGUUUAAAGGGUGCGUAGGUGGGCUUAUAAGUCAGUGGUGAAAUCUCCGAGCUUAACUUGGAAACUGCCGUUGAUACUAUAGGUCGUGAAUUAUCUGGAGGUAAGCGGAAUAUGUCAUGUAGCGGUGAAAUGCUUAGAUAUGACAUAGAACACCAAUUGCGAAGGCAGCUUACUACAUAUAAAUUGACGCUGAGGAACGAAAGCGUGGGGAUCAAACA
rnacentral:rRNA from 1 species